rnacentral:sRNA from 1 species
UAUAGGACGCUUUAGUCCUUUAGCGGAGC